UACGAAGGGGGCAAGCGUUGUUCGGAAUUACUGGGCGUAAAGGGCGCGUAGGCGGCCGAUCAAGUCAGGCGUGAAAUUCCCGGGCUCAACCUGGGGGCUGCGCUUGAUACUGAUUGGCUUGAAUGCGGGAGAGGAUAGUGGAAUUCCCAGUGUAGAGGUGAAAUUCGUAGAUAUCUGGAGGAACACCGGUGGCGAAGGCGGCGUUCUGGACUGCAACUGACACUGAGAAACGAAAGCCAGGGUAGCAAACGGG
rnacentral:rRNA from 1 species